rnacentral:rRNA from 1 species
AGAGUUUGAUCAUGGCUCAGAAUAAACGUUGGCGGCGUGCUUAACACAUGCAAGUCGAGCGAGAAAGGUCUUCGGACUGAGUACAGCGGCAAACGGGUGAGUAACACGUGGGAAUCUACCUUUUAGUGAAGAAUACCCUCGAGAAAUCGAGGGUAAUACUGCAUACGUCUCGAAAGAGAGAAAGAUGGCCUCUUUGCUGUCGCUGAAAGAUGAGCCUGCGUACUAUUAGCUAGUUGGUAGGGUAAAGGCCUACCAAGGCUAUGAUGGUUAGCCGGCCUGAGAGGGUGUACGGCCACACUGGAACUUAGACACGGUCCAGACUCCUACGGGAGGCAGCAGUGAGGAAUAUUGCGCAAUGGGCGAAAGCCUGACGCAGCGACGCCGCGUGGAGGAUGAAGGUCUUAGGAUUGUAAACUUCUGUUAAGCGGGAAGAAAGACGAAGUGUUAAUACCACUUUAUGAUGACGGUACCGCUAAAGAAAGCACCGGCUAACUUCGUG